GGAAUGAGUCCUAAAACUCAGAAGUAAGUUAGCAUGUUAGCACUUCCUGUUCCCUCGUCCCAAAGUCAGUGUGUUUCUGGUUAAAUGUCUGAAAUAAGGGCUGUGGUUUUAACACAAGCUCAAGACAUUUUCAGGUUUUAUUCUCCGACAUAAAAUGGGUCAGUAAAUCCCCCACUCCUGAUGUUUGAAGCUUUUACGUGUCUUAAAAAAGGCGGUUGCUAACGAGUGUCUAAAUGAGACUACAGAGGUUGUCGGGGACGUUAACAUGAAAACCCAUCUACUCACCAGUCCACCUUUACAGCCUCGUUGUGUUUCUACUCACGCUCUUUCAAACUCUCACUAACUUUCUAAGAAGAAAGGCUUUUGUAGAAGAGCUCAGAGCUAAAUGAAAUGACCAGUUGGAAGCUUAGUGGUGGAGACGUUGACGUCAUGUGACCGUGGUGUAGUUGGUUUAUAGCCUAACAUUAGCUUCUUACUUCUGGAGAUUGGAUUUAGGCUUCAAACAUCAGAACAGUGGUGUUCAUCUGUGAAGAUUAUCUGAUCAACUAAACCUGAAGGAUCAGAAACUUUAGUUGGUCACAGUUUAUUUUCUGGAAUAAUCCAAAAUACUAUGAAAAAAUCCCAUUGGCUUUUUGUGGAGGAACCAGGCUGAUGCUGACUUCAGGUUGGACUACAGAAACACAUCACCAUCCCCUCCCACAGACUCAGUAGUUUCUUCCA